rnacentral:sRNA from 1 species
AUAAUGUGUGUGACUUCUCUGACACCAUCCAACUUCUAAAGAUCAGGUGUUGGCCAUGCUAGAGAAAGCCAAAGCUAACAUGCCAGCCAAGCCUGCUCCACCCACUAAAGCAACUUCUAAACCAAUGGGAGGGUCAGCUCCAGCCAAAUUCCAGCCUGCAUCAGCACCUGCUGAAGAUUCUAUUUCCAGCAGUACAGAACCCAAACCUGAUCCAAAAAAGGCCAAAGCUCCAGGAUUAUCCUCUAAAGCAAAGAGUGCACAAGGGAAGAAGGUGCCAAGCAAAACCAGCUUAAAGGAGGAUGAAGACAAAUCUGGGCCUAUUUUUAUUGUUGUUCCAAAUGGAAAAGAGCAAAGGAUGAAAGAUGAAAAAGGAUUGAAGGUGCUAAAGUGGAAUUUUACUACCCCACGGGAUGAAUACAUCGAGCAACUAAAGACUCAAAUGUCUAGCUGUGUGGCUAAAUGGUUACAAGAUGAGAUGUUUCACUCAGACUUUCAGCAUCAUAACAAAGCCCUUGCUGUUAUGGUUGAUCACUUGGAGAGUGAAAAAGAAGGUGUUAUUGGUU